rnacentral:rRNA from 1 species
AUAUCAAUAAGCGGAGGAAAAGAAACCAACAGGGAUUGCCUCAGUAACGGCGAGUGAAGCGGCAAAAGCUCAAAUUUGAAAUCCCCCGGGAAUUGUAAUUUGAAGAGAUUUGGGUCCGGCCGGCAGGGGUUAAGUCCACUGGAAAGUGGCGCCACAGAGGGUGACAGCCCCGUGAACCCCCUUAAAGCCCUCAUCCCAGAUCUCCAAGAGUCGAGUUGUUUGGGAAUGCAGCUCUAAGUGGGUGGUAAAUUCCAUCUAAAGCUAAAUACCGGCGAGAGACCGAUAGCGAACAAGUACAGUGAUGGAAAGAUGAAAAGCACUUUGAAAAGAGAGUGAAAAAGUACGUGAAAUUGUUGAAAGGGAAGGGCUUGCAAGCAGACACUUAACUGGGCCAGCAUCGGGGCGGCGGGGAGCAAAACCACUGGGGAAUGUACCUUUCGAGGAUUAUAACCCCGGUCCUUACUCCCUCACCAUCCCGAGGCCUGCAAUCUAAGGAUGCUGGCGUAAUGGUUGCAA